UUUAUUUCUAGUUUGUUUAGUUUUGAAUGUCGAUUAUUCUAAAGUUAUUGAUUGAAAUUCUGCUUGAAGAAAUAAACGAUUAAAAAACUGUAAAAUGACAACUUCGAGGUCUUCAUAAGCAUACUGACGAUAACUCAAAGAUUAAUAUAAACGAUUACCCUGAUAAUCAGUUUAAAUAAACGUGACGUUUUAUAAUAUAUCUUCCGUUUUUUAAUUAGCAACGAAUAUAUUUAAUGACACAUUUGGAGAGAUAAAUAAUUCUUUCAAUAAAUUUUAAGUUUAAUAAUGUGUUACAUGCGUCAUAUAUUUGAAUUGGAUACGUAAAUUUGAUUCUAAAUAUAGCACAUAUGUAUAUAUGUAUUUAUAUAAAAGAUAAGUGAGACGAUGCGUGAAUCAAAAAAAUUAUCCUACAAGUGAGUAAGACAGUAAGGUAAUAUUGUAAAGACAUUGUUCAUCAAUAGUACUUUUUUUGCUCGUGUGUUAUAACUUAUCGAUCAAAAUAUGUCGAUUAAAGUUUCUUCAAUUCUUCUAAUUGGAUUAGCUAUAGUCAUGAUAUUCGAAAUCCAAACGGGAUAUGCUAAACUUUGUAAGUCGUCGUGUGAUUGUGAUUUCUUUCAUUACUGUAAUAAAUUAUCAUGGCUGAAAUUGGGAUUUUGUGAAUAUGAUCCAAUCAAUCCCACUUACUUAAAAAAAGGUAUAAAAAACUAUUAAUAUUCCUGUGGCGCUCAUAAGUACCCAAAUAAUUGUUUAGUAUAAAUUAUAAUUGUGUAUAUAAUUAUUUAUUUUAUUACAUAUGUAAAUAGAUUUUCAUUAAAACUAUUUUAUACUAAUAAAGCUGACAAU